ensembl:lncRNA
AAGAUACACAGCCAUUACAAGCACUUCACAACUUCUAGCUUACCUCUAAGAGACUUAUUCACACGAUCAAAGAAAUUCUAGAGAGAAAGCAGUAUUAUCUGAUAUCCUGGCUUUAUAACAAAAAAAAAAAAAUUUAAGUUGAGAGAAAUAUAAAAUGUUCUCCAUCAAAAUAGCCUAAAUGAUAAAAAAUAUUCUCAAACACUUUUAUCCCAAAGCUGCCUUGGUCAUAAGAAAGCAAAGUCAGUGCUACAUCUCUAAAAACAAGGCUCAUCCUUAUAAGCCAAGAAUCAAGUAAAUACUUCCUACAAAGGUUAGUUACUUUGCAAUCUCAAAACUCUCAAGUGUGAAAUAAAGGGCUGUUUUAUUUGAAUGCAGCCAGCUCAAAACUGUUGUUUUAUAAAAAUAUCUCUAACUUGGAAACCAUUUUGGUAUUUAAGUGACGCUGGGAAAACUGGACAACUACGUGUAAAAGAAUGAAAUUAAAACAUUCUCUAACACCAUACAUAAAAAUAAACUCAAAAUGAAUUAAAGGCCUAAAUGUACAACCAGAUACUAUAAAAAUCUUAGAGGAAAACUAGGAAGAACGCUCUUUGACAUAAAUCGCAAGAGUAUAAUUGAAAUCCUCUUCCUAGAGUGGAUCUGAAAACAAACCAAUGGGACCUAAUUAAACUUAAAACUUUUGCAAAGCAAAGCAAACCAUAAACAAAAUGAAAAGACAACCCACAGAAUGGGAGAAAAUGUUUGCAAACAAAGCAACCAAUGACCAACGAAGGAUUAAUCUCCAAAAUACACAAACUCAUGCAGUUCAACAUCAAAAAAAACAAACACAAUAAAAAAUGGGCAGAAAAUGUAAAUAGAUAUUUUCCCAAAGACAUACAGAUGGCCAAAAAGCACAUGAAAAGAUACUCAACAUCACUAAUUAUUAGAGAAUGUAAAUCAAAACUACAAUGAGGUAUCACCUCACACCAGUCAGAAUCGCCAUCAUCAAAACAUCUACAAACAGGAAUUCCCUGGUGGCACCGUGAGAUAAGGAUUCGGCAUUAUCACUGCAGUGGCUUAAGCUGCUGCUAUUGUAUAGGAACUUCCAUGUGAUGGAGGUGUGGCCGAAAAAAAGGGGGGGGGGCUACAAACAAUAAAUGCUGGAGAGGGGUGGAAAUGUAAAUUGAUAUAACCACUAUGUUUUCUACUAUGGAAAACUGCAUGGAAGUUCCUCAAAAAAGCUAAAAAUAGAACUACUAUAUGAUUCAGCAAUCCCACUCCUGGGCAUAUACCUAGAGAAAACCAAAAUUUAAAAAGAUAUGGGAGUUCUCAUCAUGGUGCAGUGGAAAUGAAUCCGACUAGGAAUGAUGCAGGUUCGAUCCCUGGUCUCACUCAGUGGGUUACAGAUCCAGCAUUGCCAUAAGCUGUGGUGUAGGUCACAGACAUGGCUUAGAUCUGGUGUUGCUGUGGCUGUGGCGCAGGCCAGCAGCUGUAGCUCUGAUUAGACCCCUACCUGGGAACCUCCAUAUGCCCUGGGUGCAGCCCUCAAAGGACAAAAGACCAAAAAAAAAAAAAAA